rnacentral:tRNA from 1 species
GCCCGGCUGGCUCAAUGGAAGAGCGUCAGACUUCUAAUCUGAAGGUUGCGGGUUCAAUCCCCGCGUUGGGCU